CGCCCUCCCCGCGCAGGCGCGGCCGGAGGGCGCAGGCGCCCCCUCUCGGUCGGAAGGAGCUGUGUCGGAGACUGGGCCGCGGAUAGGAAGGGUAGAGACCCUUUAGUGCAUCUUUAUCUCCACGGAACCCAGCGCAAUGCCUUACACGUGGAGAAACUGACAACCCUACCUCCAGCUUGAGGCUGCCCACUCCCUUCUAUCAGAGAAACACAGUAACAAAGGAAGUUCAUGUUGCCAUCCUUGGACAAUGAAGGAGGAACCAUCUAAAAAUAACAUGGUCAGGAAAAGCUGCCAGGAUGGGGGGUGGGGGGGGACGACUUUGAUCCCACCUCUCCCUCAGAAUUGGAAUGAGGUGUCCAUUCUCCUACCACACUGUGUGGUUUGGGGUAUUACAUUUUAUGUGGAAUUGUUAACCUCAGCACUAAAAUGGAGUUCGUUUAUUUCCUAAAUUCUCCUUGAAUAGCUCUUAAAUUAUCCAUAAACACUUGUAUAUGCAACCCUA